rnacentral:rRNA from 1 species
AUUGAACGCUGGCGGCAGGCCUAACACAUGCAAGUCGAGCGGAUGAAGGGAGCUUGCUCCUGGAUUCAGCGGCGGACGGGUGAGUAAUGCCUAGGAAUCUGCCUGGUAGUGGGGGAUAACGUCCGGAAACGGGCGCUAAUACCGCAUACGUCCUGAGGGAGAAAGUGGGGGAUCUUCGGACCUCACGCUAUCAGAUGGGCCUAGGUCGGAUUAGCUAGUUGGUGGGGUAAAGGCCUACCAAGGCGACGAUCCGUAACUGGUCUGAGAGGAUGAUCAGUCACACUGGAACUGAGACACGGUCCAGACUCCUACGGGAGGCAGCAGUGGGGAAUAUUGGACAAUGGGCGAAAGCCUGAUCCAGCCAUGCCGCGUGUGUGAACAAGGUCUUCGGAUUGUAAAGCACUUUAAGUUGGGAGGAAGGGCAGUAAGUUAAUACCUUGCUGUUUUGACGUUACCAACAGAAUAAGCACCGGCUAACUUCGUG